rnacentral:rRNA from 1 species
GACAGAGGUGGCGAGCGUUAUCCGGAUUGACUGGGCGUAAAGGGCGUGUAGGCGGUUCUAUAAGUCGGUCGUGAAAGGCGUCGGCUCAACCGAAGCAGUGCGACCGAGACUGUAGGGCUUGGAGCGCGGAAGAGGAAAGGGGAAUUCCCGGUGUAGCAGUGAAAUGCGUAGAUAUCGGAAGGAACAUCAGUGGCGAAAGCGACUUCCUGGACCAGUACCGACGUUCAGGCACGAAAGCGUGGGGAGCAAACAGG